AUAUCAUGAAGAACAACCAAGUAUUUCAAGCUGGGAUCAUGCUGAGGAACCUCAACCAAGGAAAGCUGAGGCGAGGGCGAGUAGGUCCCUGAGGAGGACCACUGCAAAGAAAGGAGGUCAAGGAGAUUCUGGGAGCAACCUGCGAGCAACCUCUAGAUCAGCCAGCAGGCACCUCUGACAAUGCCGCUGCCGGUGUCGACGCUGGCAGCCAUGGCCGGGGCCGAGCUGACGAGUUCCAACCUGGAAGCUCAGCGCGAGGGGCUGGCAUUUGUUGCCGGCUUCGUGGCAUACAAGUGUCACCACAUCGACGCCACCCUCG